CACACUGCAAAAAGACCAACUUCUACAGAGGUUAAGUCCUUCUCUUGCAGCAAAGAGCUACUCUGCAGACCUUCAAUUCCCUGUGAUGUCCAAUCUAAAUAUGUCACAGGAGAAUCAGUUGAAAUUCAAGCCACAAGGAAGCAAGGCCAGGCCAAAAGAUUGCAGCAAGCCAGUGGUCCAGCUCAGGACUGUGGCACAGGAGAGAGGCAUUUCCUCUGUCUCCCAUUGACUCGAAUAUUCUGGAAGCAGCUCUUCUGAGAAAAUAUGUAUUUGUUACUGCAGAACGCAACAGUUUCCUACCAGAUGAACUCACCUGGAAGACUGGAGGGUUUGAGUACAAAACUAUUAAAAGCUCUGCAACACAGAGCAAGAAAAAGGAGUUAUCUCAAUGAGUGCCCUGAGGCCAACAACUGCUGCCUUGGUGAAAGAAACCCACACUACCAUAGUAAGAGCUUUCCUCUAGAAUCAAAAUACAUCUCGUAAAAGCACCUUACACGUGUGGACAAACCUAUUAAAUAAUUAGUAAAUAAGAAAUAGAGUAUUUAAAAUGGAUGUCCCGAGAAUGUAGCAAAAUACUGAGAACAAGUUGAAAUAAUAAUCUACAUUAAUAAGGCUGAAGAUUCUCUAUGAAGAAAUCUUGUGUAUAAUAUAUAAGAAAUAGAAAAUUAGAGCUAUUAUUUCUAGAAUGUUGCAUGCAAAACAUAUACAUAAAUGUAUGUACAAACACACACAGGCACAUAUGAUCCUGAACCCUUUCACACCCUAAGGCACUUUAAUUUUGCCUCCACACUUUAGUUAUGCUUCUUUCUGAAAGGUAAAGACUUAAAAUGGUUGCCUCCUAUUCCAUUAUCCUUUCUCAGCCUCUAUUUUGACACAGGUCCUUCUGUUGCAUGGUGGCUACGACAAUUAGUCCAUGAAAAUAUUACACUAUAUAUAGCUACUUGCAUUAUAACACCUUUCAAUAAUUACCUACAAUUUUCA